rnacentral:rRNA from 1 species
CCGGCACGGGUGAGUAACACGUAUCCAACCUGCCGUCUACUCUUGGACAGCCUUCUGAAAGGAAGAUUAAUACAAGAUGGCAUCAUGAGUUCACAUGUUCACAUGAUUAAAGGUAUUCCGGUAGACGAUGGGGAUGCGUUCCAUUAGAUAGUAGGCGGGGUAACGGCCCACCUAGUCUUCGAUGGAUAGGGGUUCUGAGAGGAAGGUCCCCCACAUUGGUACUGAGACCCGGACCAA